AAAACGGCCCUUUUUAGGGCCACUACAUUUUGAAAGAUCAACAUUUU
rfam:Tropilaelaps mercedesae isolate Wuxi-XJTLT scaffold0000033006, whole genome shotgun sequence.